UACGGGGGGAGCAAGCGUUGUUCGGAUUUACUGGGCGUAAAGGGCGCGUAGGCGGCGUGACAAGUCACUUGUGAAAUCUCCGGGCUUAACUCGGAACGGUCAAGUGAUACUGUCGUGCUAGAGUACAGAAGGGGCAACUGGAAUUCUCGGUGUAGCGGUGAAAUGCGUAGAGAUCGGAAAGAACACCAACGGCGAAAGCACUCUGCUGGGCCGACACUGACACUGAGAGACGAAAGCUAGGGGAGCGAAUGGG
rnacentral:rRNA from 1 species